UUUAAGUGCAACCAUAAGUUUCCGUGCCCAACUUUGAUCGUCCGUCUUAUUUGAAUUUUUUUUAUAAUUAGUAUUUUUGUUGUUAUGAGAUGACAAAACAUGAAUAUCACUUUACUCGCAACUUAUGCUUUUAAAUUUUUCUUAAUUUUUUUUAAAUAAGACGGAUAAUUAAAGUUGUGCGUGAAAAAUCAUGACUGCACUUAAA
rfam:Oryza meridionalis cultivar OR44 (W2112) chromosome 6, whole genome shotgun sequence.